rnacentral:tRNA from 1 species
ACGGGAAUGGCGAAAUUAGGUAUACGCACUAGGUUUAGAUCCUAGUACCAUUUUUAGGUUUGUGAGUUCGAGUCUCUCUUCCCGUA